GUCUAUGGCCAUGCCACCCUGAACGUGCCCGAUCUCAUCUGAUCUCAGAAGCUAAGCAGGGUCAGGCCUGGUUAGUACUUGGAUGGGAGACCACCUAGGAAGACCAGGUGCUGUAGGCA
rnacentral:rRNA from 1 species